rnacentral:lncRNA from 1 species
UGAACACAAGCCGAUUCUGUUGCCAUGGAGCUUAGAGUUUUGGAAGGGAAAGGCAACCAUGCAAAUGGAAAAUUCCAGUGUUAUAUGAUAGAGACAUUGCUCUGGGUCUCAGAUCCACCUGAGGUGAGGAUAUCUUUUUCCCUUUCUGAGUCUUCAUGUAGGCAACUCUACACGGAGGCUGUUUCUAAGGGAGGAAGGAGAUAAGGUACAGUAAGAGCCAUGGUCUCUGCCAUGGGGAUCCUUCUCAGAACCUAGGAAAUCCUCCCCCCGGGUCCUGCUAGGAAACUAAUUGGGGGUUGAUUCUGAUGAAUACAUGCCUGGUCGCAGCCUGAGAAAUGGACCACGCCAGCAGAUGGCUGGGGCUUGAGAAACGGUCACGGCCUUCAGAGGGGCCCAUCAAUAAUAGAUCGGCUCCAGCCCUGAGAGAGGGAAGCGUUUCUGCGGCAGGAUGCAAAGACGAAUACAUUGUAUCAACCAGAUGGGAACUCCAGGGACCAUGAGAUGUCUGCUCUGCCUAAAGCCACCACUCAUUCUAGCCAACUAGUUCAUGGAAAUGCAGCCAGUAUUUAGAGUCUUUGAUAUUUUCAUCAGAGCUGAAAGUUUGGAUUUCAUCUAAGAAGCUCUUCUUUGUUAAAUGUUAACAACAAAUCCAGACUCAUUUGGUGUUCUGUGUUGGGAAUUAUUACUCAAGGAGCAACAAAACACAAUAAAAAUAAUUCACCAUGAACGAUUCCUCUAUGAAGUCUGUGAAUAACGUGGAAAAUGAUGGCGAUGUUUGUUAAGUGAAGAAAGUAGACCCUGGAAUUCCUUAUGUGAGGGAGGCUGCAGUGUUCGUGGUGGAGUACUGGUGUGGGCAGUCAGGAAGGUGGCCACCACCCCUCACCGUGGACCAGGGGUGAUUUGAAUUGAAGAAAUUACACUUUAAAAAUUAAUAAAAUGUUGUUACAUCUGCUAUUUCCAUUGGACAGUUCAGGUCUGACUGCUGGGAAAUCUACAUACUGCUUACACUCACAUCUCAUUGGGCAGAAAUUAGUCACAAGCUCAUACAACUUGCAAGGGAUGCUGGGGAAUUCAGACAAAAUCUCUAAAGUAGCAGUGAUGGCAGCCAGCAACCUCUGACUUGGACAAACUGGAAGCUGUAACGAUCUAAGACUCAGGAUGCAACACAGGAAGAAAGAAAGUUCCAGAGAGAAGGGAACGGAAUUGAUGCCAUACUGCACCUGAAACCUGCAGAGAACCCUGGCAUUUUAUACUUACCAUCACAUGGUUCUGUUGAGACCCAGCACUCAGCGUAUGCCUGGCGGCCACUGGAAGCAAGAGACAAACA